rnacentral:rRNA from 1 species
GUUAAUCGACGCAGGGUUAGUCGGUCCCUAAGGCGAGGCUGAAAAGCGUAGUCGAUGGAAAACAGGUUAAUAUUCCUGUACUUCUGGUUAUUGCGAUGGAGGGACGGAGAAGGCUAGGCCAGCUUGGCGUUGGUUGUCCAAGUUUAAGGUGGUAGGCUGGAAUCUUAGGUAAAUCCGGGAUUCCAAGGCCGAGAGCUGAUGACGAGUGUUCUUUUAGAACACGAAGUGGUUGAUGCCAUGCUUCCAAGAAAAGCUUCUAAGCUUCAGGUAACCAGGAACCGUACCCCAAACCGACACAGGUGGUUGGGUAGAGAAUACCAAGGCGCUUGAGAGAACUCGGGUGAAGGAACUAGGCAAAAUGGCACCGUAACUUCGGGAGAAGGUGCGCCG